rnacentral:lncRNA from 1 species
UCAGUACCUUUGGCUGCGACAAAACCAAUUUAAAGUAAGCAGUGCCGAUCACAUCUCGUCUCCUAUCGAACUUUGACAUUUAAAAAUACCAAAUUUUGUGAUAAAUGUUAAAAUUAACCACAUGAAAAAUUAUGAGGAGGGUUAAAGCUAUCUAAAAAUCAAAUUAUUGCCUCGUUGAAGCUCUCGAUAACUCCAUAGGUAUCGGGUUACUAAACAACGAUUUAGCUGAAAGGGAGUCAAGAAUUCAAAAUUAUUGGCCAAACGUAUGUUUCUUAAGAAAUGAGCAGCUAGCCAAUUAUUGUUAUGAUUUAAGCAGGAAAGUGCUGCAGAUGCCAGAAAAUCUCGGUGUAGGCAAGUUUAUUUAAUAAAAUAUCCGUGGGAUGAAAACACGCUAUUUGGACGUUCAGACUGAUAGAUCUUCAGAGGUCUACGGAGUUUCCCAAGAGACGAGGUUGUUUAAAAAUCAGUAAUUACGAGACCUUAAGACCUCAUGCUCACAGUCUAUGCGCUAUUUUCUGUAUUUUGUAGAAUUUCAAGACAUUUAAAAAUGUCAAAGUCCUAUAGGAGACGAGUUGUGAUGGGCACUGCUUACUUAAAUUGGCUUUAUCGCAGCCAAAGGUACUGAUACUCUUCUAAAUAGUGUUUAUUUAUGAAAAAGCGAUAUUUUAAAACACGUGGGUACAAUAUCUAAACAAUAGAACGCUUUACACUAAAAUACUGAAACUCUUAACAUUGCCAUCAAUCAUCAGUAUAGCCCAUUUAGAGCAGGUGAAAAUUUUAUCAAAUACGCAUAGUUUUUCAAAAAUGUUUUGAUCUAACAAAAAAGUACAUUAAUGAUUAAUUAAAACUGCAUUAUCAUUUACCUGAAAAUCACUUCAAAAACUUUUGAAAACACCGACGAACUUUCUGCCAGCAGUUAGUCCAAAACAAGGUUUAACCAAUUUCUUAGCAAUUGUACAAAAUUCAAAUUUAGAAUACGCUCUCACGCAUGCUUGGCUAACUCUUUUGAUGCUAGAAACAUACUACAAUCAUUAAAAGUCUUUGAAAUACACGUAAAGUCCUUAAAACUAAGAUUUCGCAUAGGUGCCCGUUUUUUUUGCAAAAGAGUGUAUAAU